rnacentral:rRNA from 1 species
CCAGACUCCUACGGGAGGCAGCAGUGGGGAAUAUUGCACAAUGGGGGAAACCCUGAUGCAGCGACGCCGCGUGAGUGAAGAAGUAAUUCGUUAUGUAAAGCCCUGUCAGCAGGGAAGAAAAUGACGGUACCUGAAGAAGAAGCCCCGGCUAACUACGUGCCAGCAGCCGCGGUAAUACGUAGGGGGCAAGCGUUAUCCGGAUUUACUGGGUGUAAAGGGGGCGCAGACGGCGAUGCAAGCCAGGAGUGAAAGCCCGGGGCCCAACCCCGGGACUGCUCUUGGAACUGCGUGGCUGGAGUGCAGGAGGGGCAGGCGGAAUUCCUGGUGCAGCGGUGAAAUGCGUAGAUAUCAGGAGGAACACCGGUGGCGAAGGCGGCCUGCUGGACUGCAACUGACGUUGAGGCCCGAAAGCGUGGGGAGCAAACAGGAUUAGAUACCCGGGUACU